rnacentral:rRNA from 1 species
AUGGCAAGGAUACCAAGACGACUACGGGACUUGGACCUUACAAUGCAUGAUCCAGAACAUGUGCAGCUUGGUGAAGAAAAUCUGCAAGGUCCUCCAGAGAUUGAUAAUAUAUUACCAGGAAGAUCUCAUGAAUCUACUAGCCAAAUCAAGAUAAUUUGGCCAAAUGGAGAGACACGACAGAUUGUAGGGGAAUUUCGGCUGAAGAAUUUAUCCCAGGUAGAUGGAGGAAGGAUAAUUGUGGAGACUAAUGAAAAAGGUGUUCCGAAUGAAAGGUCUGGUUCCAUUCUUAGCAGCUAUCUUAGUGACCUUGCAGAGAACUCCACAUUUGCACCACUGAACAUUCCAAGAUGGGACAAUGAACUAUUUGUCCAGAGAAAGAACAACAUGAUCAAGGAUGUAGAGGUCACUCUACCUCAAAGAGAUAACCAUCUCCAAUGUGAAUCUUAUAAUGUCCUUAAACAAUCAAAUAAUGAUGUGCAGGAGCCACGAACUACCAUGCAGGAACCGGAACAAACCAAAUCAAAAGAGGGUUGUGGCAGUGCCCCUCUACCACAUGGACAUGUGAUCACUAAGAAUGCCCAUGCUGAAAAUAAUCUUGCCAUGCAGCAAGAUGGUCCUGAACCAAGUUUACGACUUCACCAAGUCACUAAGCAGAAUGCUCAUGCUCAAAAUAGCAAUGCAACCAAGCCAUGUGGUCAUCACCAAGUCACUAAGCAGGAUAAAGUUGAAGUCGUGUUGUAUUCAAUGAACUUGAGAAACAAAGACAAACUCGUGGCCAAAGGAACUUUAGUGAGUAAAGAGAAAACAUAUGUGGUUGGAGGAAACAUGCUUGGAGUGGAAUAUGUUUCAGUUGUGGUUCGUGGUUGUACAUAUCUUGGAGAUGAGAAACUAGUUAGACCAUAUGAAAAAUUCCAAACAGUAAGGGAUGAAAGAAAUAUGCUCUAG